GAAGGCGACGAUCUGUAGCGGGUCUGAGAGGAUGAUCCGCCACACUGGGACUGAGACACGGCCCAGACUCCUACGGGAGGCAGCAGUGGGGAAUAUUGGACAAUGGGCGCAAGCCUGAUCCAGCCAUGCCGCGUGUGUGAAGAAGGCCUUAUGGUUGUAAAGCACUUAAAGCGAGGAGGAGGCUACUUUAGUUAAUACCUAGAGAUAGUGGACGUUACUCGCAGAAUAAGCACCGGCUAACUCUGUGCCAGCAGCCGCGGUAAUUCAGAGGGUGCAAGCGUUAAUCGGAUUUACUGGGCGUAAAGCGCGCGUAGGCGGCUAAUUAAGUCAAAUGUGAAAUCCCCGAGCUUAACUUGGGAAUUGCAUUCGAUACUGGUUAGCUAGAGUGUGGGAGAGGAUGGUAGAAUUCCAGGUGUAGCGGUGAAAUGCGUAGAGAUCUGGAGGAUUACCGAUGGCGAAGGCAGCCAUCUGGCCUAACACUGACGCUGAGGUGCGAAAGCAUGGGGAGCAAACAGGAUUAGAUACCCUGGUAGUCCAUGCCGUAAACGAUGUCUACUAGCCGUUGGGGCCUUUGAGGCUUUAGUGGCGCAGCUAACGCGAUAAGUAGACCGCCUGGGGAGUACGGUCGCAAGACUAAAACUCAAAUGAAUUGACGGGGGCCCGCACAAGCGGUGGAGCAUGUCGUUUAAUUCGAUGCAACGCGAAGAACCUUACCUGGCCUUGACAUAGUAAGAACUUUCCAGAGAUGGAUUGGUGCCUUCGGGAACUUACAUACAGGUGCUGCAUGGCUGUCGUCAGCUCGUGUCGUGACAUGUUGGGUUAAGUCCCGCAACGAGCGCAACCCUUUUCCUUAUUUGCCAGCGAGUAAUGUCGGGAACUUUAAGGAUACUGCCAGUGACAAACUGGAGGAAGGCGGGGACGACGUCAAGUCAUCAU
rnacentral:rRNA from 1 species